rnacentral:rRNA from 1 species
GAACCGUUAUAACCGGCGAUUUCCGAAUGGGGAAACCCAGUGUGUUUCGACACACUAUCAUUAACUGAAUCCAUAGGUUAAUGAGGCGAACCGGGGGAACUGAAACAUCUAAGUACCCCGAGGAAAAGAAAUCAACCGAGAUUCCCCCAGUAGCGGCGAGCGAACGGGGAGCAGCCCAGAGCCUGAAUCAGUGUGUGUGUUAGUGGAAGCGUCUGGAAAGGCGCGCGAUACAGGGUGACAGCCCCGUACACAAAAAUGCACAUGCUGUGAGCUCGAUGAGUAGGGCGGGACACGUGGUAUCCUGUCUGAAUAUGGGGGGACCAUCCUCCAAGGCUAAAUACUCCUGACUGACCGAUAGUGAACCAGUACCGUGAGGGAAAGGCGAAAAGAACCCCGGCGAGGGGAGUGAAAAAGAACCUGAAACCGUGUACGUACAAGCAGUGGGAGCACGCUUAGGCGUGUGACUGCGUACCUUUUGUAUAAUGGGUCAGCGACUUAUAUUCUGUAGCAAGGUUAACCGAAUAGGGGAGCCGAAGGGAAACCGAGUCUUAACUGGGCGUUAAGUUGCAGGGUAUAGACCCGAAACCCGGUGAUCUAGCCAUGGGCAGGUUGAAGGUUGGGUAACACUAACUGGAGGACCGAACCGACUAAUGUUGAAAAAUUAGCGGAUGACUUGUGGCUGGGGGUGAAAGGCCAAUCAAACCGGGAGAUAGCUGGUUCUCCCCGAAAGCUAUUUAGGUAGCGCCUCGUGAAUUCAUCUCCGGGGGUAGAGCACUGUUUCGGCAAGGGGGUCAUCCCGACUUACCAACCCGAUGCAAACUGCGAAUACCGGAGAAUGUUAUCACGGGAGACACACGGCGGGUGCUAACGUCCGUCGUGAAGAGGGAAACAACCCAGACCGCCAGCUAAGGUCCCAAAGUCAUGGUUAAGUGGGAAACGAUGUGGGAAGGCCCAGACAGCCAGGAUGUUGGCUUAGAAGCAGCCAUCAUUUAAAGAAAGCGUAAUAGCUCACUGGUCGAGUCGGCCUGCGCGGAAGAUGUAACGGGGCUAAACCAUGCACCGAAGCUGCGGCAGCGACACUAUGUGUUGUUGGGUAGGGGAGCGUUCUGUAAGCCUGUGAAGGUGUGCUGUGAGGCAUGCUGGAGGUAUCAGAAGUGCGAAUGCUGACAUAAGUAACGAUAAAGCGGGUGAAAAGCCCGCUCGCCGGAAGACCAAGGGUUCCUGUCCAACGUUAAUCGGGGCAGGGUGAGUCGACCCCUAAGGCGAGGCCGAAAGGCGUAGUCGAUGGGAAACAGGUUAAUAUUCCUGUACUUGGUGUUACUGCGAAGGGGGGACGGAGAAGGCUAUGUUGGCCGGGCGACGGUUGUCCCGGUUUAAGCGUGUAGGCUGGUUUUCCAGGCAAAUCCGGAAAAUCAAGGCUGAGGCGUGAUGACGAGGCACUACGGUGCUGAAGCAACAAAUGCCCUGCUUCCAGGAAAAGCCUCUAAGCAUCAGGUAACAUCAAAUCGUACCCCAAACCGACACAGGUGGUCAGGUAGAGAAUACCAAGGCGCUUGAGAGAACUCGGGUGAAGGAACUAGGCAAAAUGGUGCCGUAACUUCGGGAGAAGGCACGCUGAUAUGUAGGUGAAGCGACUUGCUCGUGGAGCUGAAAUCAGUCGAAGAUACCAGCUGGCUGCAACUGUUUAUUAAAAACACAGCACUGUGCAAACACGAAAGUGGACGUAUACGGUGUGACGCCUGCCCGGUGCCGGAAGGUUAAUUGAUGGGGUUAGCCGCAAGGCGAAGCUCUUGAUCGAAGCCCCGGUAAACGGCGGCCGUAACUAUAACGGUCCUAAGGUAGCGAAAUUCCUUGUCGGGUAAGUUCCGACCUGCACGAAUGGCGUAAUGAUGGCCAGGCUGUCUCCACCCGAGACUCAGUGAAAUUGAACUCGCUGUGAAGAUGCAGUGUACCCGCGGCAAGACGGAAAGACCCCGUGAACCUUUACUAUAGCUUGACACUGAACAUUGAGCCUUGAUGUGUAGGAUAGGUGGGAGGCUUUGAAGUGUGGACGCCAGUCUGCAUGGAGCCGACCUUGAAAUACCACCCUUUAAUGUUUGAUGUUCUAACGUUGACCCGUAAUCCGGGUUGCGGACAGUGUCUGGUGGGUAGUUUGACUGGGGCGGUCUCCUCCUAAAGAGUAACGGAGGAGCACGAAGGUUGGCUAAUCCUGGUCGGACAUCAGGAGGUUAGUGCAAUGGCAUAAGCCAGCUUGACUGCGAGCGUGACGGCGCGAGCAGGUGCGAAAGCAGGUCAUAGUGAUCCGGUGGUUCUGAAUGGAAGGGCCAUCGCUCAACGGAUAAAAGGUACUCCGGGGAUAACAGGCUGAUACCGCCCAAGAGUUCAUAUCGACGGCGGUGUUUGGCACCUCGAUGUCGGCUCAUCACAUCCUGGGGCUGAAGUAGGUCCCAAGGGUAUGGCUGUUCGCCAUUUAAAGUGGUACGCGAGCUGGGUUUAGAACGUCGUGAGACAGUUCGGUCCCUAUCUGCCGUGGGCGCUGGAGAACUGAGGGGGGCUGCUCCUAGUACGAGAGGACCGGAGUGGACGCAUCACUGGUGUUCGGGUUGUCAUGCCAAUGGCACUGCCCGGUAGCUAAAUGCGGAAGAGAUAAGUGCUGAAAGCAUCUAAGCACGAAACUUGCCCCGAGAUGAGUUCUCCCUGACUCCUUGAGAGUCCUGAAGGAACGUUGAAGACGACGACGUUGAUAGGCCGGGUGUGUAAGCGCAGCGAUGCGUUGAGCUAACCGGUACUAAUGAACCGUGAGGCUUAACCUU